GAUGAACGCUGGCGGCGUGCCUAAUACAUGCAAGUCGAGCGAACAGACGAGGAGCUUGCUCCUCUGACGUUAGCGGCGGACGGGUGAGUAACACGUGGAUAACCUACCUAUAAGACUGGGAUAACUUCGGGAAACCGGAGCUAAUACCGGAUAAUAUAUUGAACCGCAUGGUUCAAUAGUGAAAGACGGUUUUGCUGUCACUUAUAGAUGGAUCCGCGCCGCAUUAGCUAGUUGGUAAGGUAACGGCUUACCAAGGCAACGAUGCGUAGCCGACCUGAGAGGGUGAUCGGCCACACUGGAACUGAGACACGGUCCAGACUCCUACGGGAGGCAGCAGUAGGGAAUCUUCCGCAAUGGGCGAAAGCCUGACGGAGCAACGCCGCGUGAGUGAUGAAGGUCUUCGGAUCGUAAAACUCUGUUAUUAGGGAAGAACAAAUGUGUAAGUAACUAUGCACGUCUUGACGGUACCUAAUGAGAAAGCCACGGCUAACUACGUG
rnacentral:rRNA from 1 species